rnacentral:lncRNA from 1 species
UCCACCGUGCUAGUAUUCAUUCACAAUGGCAUUUCUUGUCUUGGCAAUGACACUCUUUGUUGCCUAUGGUUUGAUUUCAUCUUUUAUUUUAUGAAACCUCAAAAAGCAUAAUCUCUAGUAUUACUCAAAUAAUAUAAUCUUCUCUUUGAUGUACUUAUCGUCGAAUGGCUAAUUAAUUUUGAUGAAACUUGUAUCUAUACCUCUAAAUAUGUGAUACUACAAGUAAUAUUUCGGGAGGAACAAUAUAUUUAUUCACGCUUUAAAGUGCCCACAGAAUCUGUUUUAUGUAAUAGUGAACAAAUCUGUAUCAAGGAGAACUAUGAAGAUGGUCAUUGUUACAAAAUCCAUAGCAAGUGUGUAUGCAUGAAGAGAUGUGAUGUGGUUCAGGAGGCUAAAACUCUCGCAACAGAAUUGCUUGAAGAAGAGUUUCUCAAGCAGUAAUUAAGUUUGAUUAUGGAUUUAGUGUCACACAAAAUUCAAUAAAGUAUCGCCUUUCUUAAAAGGGUUACUUAUAAUGUUGUGUUCUUGGCAUAUAGUAGCCAUUUGAUACAUUAAAUAAAGUUCUGACACAUCAACUUCAUGUAUCUUGUAUUAAGUUUGUGGGUGUUUUAAUGUAAAGAGAUCGUUUGCAAUCUAUAUGUAUAAAAUCUUUCAUGUAUCUUGUAUUAAGUUUGAUUUUGUUUUAAAGAAAAGAGAUCGUUUACGGUCUAUAUGUAUGAAAUGCAUUCAUCUGAUCAAUUUUU